CGCGCGCAGGCGGUUUCUUAAGUCUGAUGUGAAAGCCCACGGCUUAACCGUGGAGGGUCAUUGGAAACUGGGAGACUUGAGUGCAGAAGAGGAAAGUGGAAUUCCAAGUGUAGCGGUGAAAUGCGUAGAGAUUUGGAGGAACACCAGUGGCGAAGGCGACUUUCUGGUCUGCAACUGACGCUGAGGCGCGAAAGCAUGGGGAGCAAACAGGAUUAGAUACCCUGGUAGUCCAUGCCGUAAACGAUGAGUGCUAAGUGUUAGGGGGUUUCCGCCCCUUAGUGCUGCAGCUAACGCAUUAAGCACUCCGCCUGGGGAGUACGACCGCAAGGUUGAAACUCAAAGGAAUUGACGGGGGCCCGCACAAGCGGUGGAGCAUGUGGUUUAAUUCGAAGCAACGCGAAGAACCUUACCAGGUCUUGACAUCCCAGUGACCGCUCUAGAGAUAGAGUUUUCCCUUCGGGGACAUUGGUGACAGGUGGUGCAUGGUUGUCGUCAGCUCGUGUCGUGAGAUGUUGGGUUAAGUCCCGCAACGAGCGCAACCCUUAAUCUUAGUUGCCAUCAUUUAGUUGGGCACUCUAAGGUGACUGCCGGUGACAAACCGGAGGAAGGUGGG
rnacentral:rRNA from 1 species